rnacentral:rRNA from 1 species
AUUGAACGCUGGCGGCAGGCCUAACACAUGCAAGUCGAGCGGAGUGGCGGACGGGCGAGUAAUGACUAGGUAUCUGCCUGGUAGAUGGGGAUGAGGUCCGGACAGGGGCGCGAAUACCGCACACUCCUUGAUGAGCCUAUGGUGGAUUAGCUAGGUGGUAGUGCAAAGGCCUACCAAGGCGACGAUCCGUAACUGGUCUGAGAGGCUGAUCAGUCACACUGGAACGGAGACACGGUCCAGACUCCUACGGGAGGCAGCAGUAGGGAAUAUUGGACAAUGGGCGAAAGCCUGAUCCAGCCACGCCGCGUGUGUGAAGAAGGUCUUCGGAUUGUAAAGCACUUUAAUUAGGGAGGCGGUACCAACACAAUAAGCACCGGCUAACUUCGGGCCAGCAGCCGCGGUAAUAC